rnacentral:rRNA from 1 species
GGGGCAUUCGGGUGACGGCGGAGGGUUAGUACGCGUGGGAACGUGCCCAGAUCUAAGGAAUAGCCACUGGAAACGGUGAGUAAUACCUUAUACGCCCUUCGGGGGAAAGAUUUAUCGGAUUUGGAUCGGCCCGCGUUAGAUUAGGUAGUUGGUGGGGUAAUGGCCUACCAAGCCUACGAUCUAUAGCUGGUUUUAGAGGAUGAUCAGCAACACUGGGACUGAGACACGGCCCAGACUCCUACGGGAGGCAGCAGUGGGGAAUCUUAGACAAUGGGGGAAACCCUGAUCUAGCCAUGCCGCGUGAGUGACGAAGGCCCUAGGGUCGUAAAGCUCUUUCGCCAGGGAUGAUAAUGACAGUACCUGGUAAAGAAACCCCGGCUAACUCCGUGCCAGCAGCCGCGGUAAUACGGAGGGGGUUAGCGUUGUUCGGAAUUACUGGGCGUAAAGCGUACGUAGGCGGAUUGGAAAGUUGGGGGUGAAAUCCCAGGGCUCAACCCUGGAACUGCCUCCAAAACUACCAGUCUAGAGUUCGAGAGAGGUGAGUGGAACUCCGAGUGUAGAGGUGAAAUUCGUAGAUAUUCGGAAGAACACCAGUGGCGAAGGCGGCUCACUGGCUCGAUACUGACGCUGAGGUACGAAAGUGUGGGGA